CUUCCGUAGGGUUACCUGCGGAGGGAUCAUUACCGAGUUUACAACUCCCAAACCCCUGUGAACAUACCUAUACGUUGCCUCGGCGGAUCAGCCCGCGCCCCGUAAAACGGGACGGCCCGCCCGAGGACCCUAAACUCUGUUUUUAGUGGAACUUCUGAGUAAAACAAACAAAUAAAUCAAAACUUUCAACAACGGAUCUCUUGGUUCUGGCAUCGAUGAAGAACGCAGCAAAAUGCGAUAAGUAAUGUGAAUUGCAGAAUUCAGUGAAUCAUCGAAUCUUUGAACGCACAUUGCGCCCGCCAGUAUUCUGGCGGGCAUGCCUGUUCGAGCGUCAUUUCAACCCUCAAGCUCAGCUUGGUGUUGGGACUCGCGGUAACCCGCGUUCCCCAAAUCGAUUGGCGGUCACGUCGAGCUUCCAUAGCGUAGUAAUCAUACACCUCGUUACUGGUAAUCGUCGCGGCCACGCCGUUAAACCCCAACUUCUGAAUGUGACCUCGGAUCAGGUAGGAAUACCCGCUGAACUUAAGCAUAUCAAAGGCCGGGAGGAA
rnacentral:rRNA from 1 species